rnacentral:rRNA from 1 species
UACGGAGGGAGCUAGCGUUGUUCGGAAUUACUGGGCGUAAAGCGCGCGUAGGCGGCUUUGUAAGUUAGAGGUGAAAGCCCGGAGCUCAACUCCGGGACUGCCUUUAAAACUGCAUCGCUUGAAUCCAGGAGAGGUGAGUGGAAUUCCGAGUGUAGAGGUGAAAUUCGAUAGAUAUUCGGAAGAACACCAGUGGCGAAGGCGGCUCACUGGCCCCGAUACUGACGCGUGAGACGG